GCUAGUUUAUCGUUUCCGGCGUGCCUAGUGAUGCACUCAUUCUUGUUGUGGAUAUUCAAUCAGCUGUUUACAAACUUUUUAGACAAAUCUCAUCGUAUCAAAUGUUUUUGUCGGUUUAAUAAUGUUUAAACUGUUUAAAAGUAUCGUGAUUUUAUACCAGCCACCAUUCUUUGUUGAUUCACUGCUACUAGAUUUAGUCUACACAAGCCUACGAGAAGAGUAAGCAGUGUUUUACGUGUGUGUGUAGUAAGUUAUUACACAGCAAGAUAUACACUAUCACCCUGUGAUCGAACCCAUAACAGACUUAUCAGAUAGAACGAUUUUGGUAAUAACUUAAGUAAUCCCCGGGUGAAGUUGGCCUAAACAUGUUACAAGUGUCCUAAUGCCUAACAAGGAUAACAGAGUACACAACAAACUAGGCUCAUGUGUUUUACAGUCUACAGCUGAUUAUGACAACUACAGCCUUAAUUUUGUUUACAAGGAAUAGAUGCACGGACAUCAAGCAGCCUACAGUGUGUGUUGAAAACCCUGCAAGUUGUCCUGGUUCAAGGUAACUUUCCCUACACAUAAUUUUGUUUCACAUAACAAUAUCUGGAGAAAAUGAUUGAAGAGCUAGUGACCAAGUGAACUCAGUGAAAGAAUAUGGCAACUUUUAAAUACUGCAAAAAGGAAAAUCAUAUAUCCGAGUGACGAAUUGACCUUUGCCAAGAGAGUGCCAAGCAGUAUGAAACCAGACAAUAACUUAGAAAAAGAG